rnacentral:rRNA from 1 species
AAAUUGACACCGUAACUUCGGGAGAAGGUGUGCCGCUGGCGGUUGGUGACUUCGCGUCACGAAGCUGUUGGUGGUCGCAGUGAAAUGGCGGUUGUGACUGUUUACUAAAAACACAGGACUCUGCGAAGUCGUAAGACGACGUAUAGGGUCUGAUGCCUGCCCGGUGCUGGAAGGUUAAGGGGAUAUGUCAGCGCAAGCGAAGCAUUGAACCGAAGCCCCAGUAAACGGCGGCCGUAACAAUAACGGUCCUAAGGUAGCGAAAUUCCUUGUCGGGUAAGUUCCGACCUGCACGAGGGCAUAACAACAUCCGCACUGUCUCGACCAGGGACUCAGCGAAAUUACAUUGGGGGUGAAGAUGCCCUCUACCCGCGGAAAGACGGAAAGACCCCAUGAACCUUUACUGCAACUUGGCAGUGAUUUUCGGGUUGUUCUGCGUAGGAUAGGUGGGAGGCUUUGAAGCCGGGCUUCCGGGUUCGGCAGAGCCAACGUUGAAAUACCACCCUGAAUAAUCUGGAAAUCUAACCUGCGCCCAUAAUCUGGGCGAGGGACACUGCCUGGUGGGCAGUUUGACUGGGGCGGUCGCCUCCUAAAUUGUAACGGAGGCGUGCGACGGUUCCCUCAGGCUGAUUGGAAACCAGCCGUAGAGUGCAAACGCAUAAGGGAGCUUUACUGCGAGACUGACAAGUCGACCAGUUGCGAAAGCAGGUGUUAGUGAUCCGGUGGUACCACAUGGAAGGGCCAUCGCUCAUCGGAUAAAAGGUACUCUGGGGAUAACAGGCUGAUCGCGCCUGAGAGUUCACAUCGGCGGCGCGGUUUGGCACCUCGAUGUCGGCUCAUCGCAUCCUGGGGCUGGAGCAGGUCCCAAGGGUUUGGCUGUUCGCCAAUUAAAGCGGUACGCGAGCUGGGUUUAAAACGUCGUGAGACAGUUUGGUCCCUAUCUUCCGUGGGCGCAGGACACUUGAGAGGAGCUAUCCAUAGUACGAGAGGACCUGGAUGGACGAACCUCUGGUGCUCCGGUUGUCACGCCAGUGGCAUAGCCGGGUAGCCAUGUUCGGAACAGAUAACCGCUGAAGGCAUAUAAGCGGGAAGCUGGCCUCAAGACUAGGUGUCCCUGACGCAAGUCACUAAAGGCCCCUCGAAGACUACGAGGUUGAUAGGCUCGGUGUGGAAGCGCUGCGAGGCGCGGAGCUAACGAGUACUGGUAGGCCGUGAGGCUUGACCAC